CCUACGGGUGGCAGCAGUGAGGAAUAUUGGUCAAUGGGCGCGAGCCUGAACCAGCCAAGUAGCGUGAAGGAUGACUGCUCUACGGGUUGUAACCUUCUUUUAUAAAGGAAUAAAGGAAGGCACGUGUGCCUUUUUGUAUGUACUUUAUGAAUAAGGAUCGGCCAACUCCGUGCCAGCAGCCGUGGGAAUACGGAGGAUCCGAGCGUUAUCCGGAUUUAUUGGGUUUAAAGGGAGCGUAGAUGGGUUGUUAAGUCAGUUGUGAAAGUUUGCGGCUCAACCGUAAAAUUGCAAUUGAUACUGGCAGUCUUGAGUACAGUUGAGGUAGGCGGAAUUCGUGGUGUAGCGGUGAAAUGCUUAGAUAUCACGAAGAACUCCGAUUGCGAAGGCAGCUUACUAAACUGCCACUGACAUUGAUGCUCGAAAGUGUGGGUAUCAAACAGGAUUAGAUACCCUGGUAGUC
rnacentral:rRNA from 1 species